UUAGAGUUUGAUCCUGGCUCAGAACGUACGCUGGCGGCACGCCUAAUACAUGCAAGUCGAACGAAGUAGCAAUACUUAGUGGCAGACGGGUGAGUAACAUGUAGGUAUCUACCCUUUGGCCUGGAAUAACACGAGGAAACUUGUGCUAAUACCGGAUAAGUCUUUACGGAGAAAGCUUUAUGCACCAUUGGAUGAGCCUGCACUUGAUUAGUUUGUUGGUGGGGUAAUGGCCUACCAAGACAAUGAUCAAUAGCUGAUUUGAGAGGAUGAUCAGCCACAUUGGGACUGAGACACGGCCCAAACUCCUACGGGAGGCAGCAGUAGGGAAUCUUGCACAAUGGAGGAAACUCUGAUGCAGCGAUGCCGCGUGAGUGAAGAAGGCCUUUGGGUUGUAAAGCUCUUUCGUCGGGGAAGAAAAUGACUGUACCCGAAUAAGAAGGUCCGGCUAACUUCGUGCCAGCAGCCGCGGUAAUACGAAGGAACCUAGCGUAGUUCGGAAUUACUGGGCUUAAAGAGUUCGUAGGUGGUUAAAAAAGUUGGUGGUGAAAUCCCAGAGCUUAACUCUGGAACUGCCAUCAAAACUUUUUAGCUAGAGUAUGAUAGAGGAAAGCGGAAUUUCUAGUGUAGAGGUGAAAUUCGUAGAUAUUAGAAAGAAUACCGAUUGCGAAGGCAGCUUUCUGGAUCAUUACUGACACUGAGGAACGAAAGCAUGGGUAGCGAAGAGGAUUAGAUACCCUCGUAGUCCAUGCCGUAAACGAUGUGUGUUAGACGUUGGAAAUUUAUUUUCAGUGUCGCAGCGAAAGCGAUAAACACACCGCCUGGGGAGUACGACCGCAAGGUUAAAACUCAAAUGAAUUGACGGGGACCCGCACAAGUAGUGGAGCAUGUGGUUUAAUUCGAAGAUACGCGCAGAACCUUACCAACACUUGACAUGUUCGUCGCGACUCUAAGAGAUUAGAGUUUUCGGUUCGGCCGGACGAAACACAGGUGCUGCAUGGCUGUCGUCAGCUCGUGUCGUGAGAUGUUGGGUUAAGUCCCGCAACGAGCGCAACCCUUACUUUUAGUUGCCAUCAUUUAGUUGGGCACUCUGAAAGAACUGCCAGUGAUAAGCUGGAGGAAGGUGGGGAUGACGUCAAGUCCUCAUGGCCCUUAUGUGUUGGGCUACACACGUGCUACAAUGGUAUCUACAACAGGAAGCAAGAUGGCAACGUUAAGCAAAUCCCAAAAAGAUACCUCAGUUCGGAUUGCACUCUGCAACUCGAGUGCAUGAAGCUGGAAUUACUAGUAAUCGUGGAUCAGCGUGCCACGGUGAAUACGUUCCCGGGUCUUGUACACACCGCCCGUCACACCAUGGGAGUUGGUUCUACCUUAAGGCAAAGUUUAAAACCUUUGACCACGGUAUAGUCAGCGACUGGGGUGAAGUCGUAACAAGGUAACCAA
rnacentral:rRNA from 1 species